AUGGAGUCUUACUCUGUUGCCCAGGCUGGAGUGCAGUGGCACAAUCUCAUCUCACUGCUGCCUCUGCCUCCCAGCUUCAAGCGAUUCUCCGGCCUCAGCCUCCUGAGUAGCUGGGAAUACAGGCACCCUCCACCACACCCAGCUAAUUUUUGUAUUUUUAGUAGAGACAGUGUUUCGCCAUGUUGGCCACACUAGUCUUGAACUCCUGGCCUCAAGUGAUCCUCCCACCUCGGACUCCCAAAGUGUUGGGAUUACAGAUGUGAGCCACCACGCCUGGCCUAGCACCAUGUUUAAUAUUGUGUAGUUCUGUAUAUUCUGACCUAUUCCAAAAACUUAAUGAAAGAGUGACACCCUAAAUUGGUACCCAAUAGUCAUGAUUAAUAAGAAGCAAAUUUAAUUUUACUAACCUAGAGCCAAAGUUGCCAAUCAAAAUUUCAAGAAUAAUUGCUUACACUGAGAUGGUCUGUUUUCACUUCUGUAAGCCAAGGCCUGUCAUCUACUGUGCAGCAACCACCAAAAAUGCAAUGUGAUUAGAGGCAUGCGUUUAAUUGAAUGUGCUAAAUAAAACCUUGUUAUAUGCAAAAAGCUAAUGUAAUUUUAAUCUGUAAUCCUUCAUUUGU
rnacentral:lncRNA from 1 species